rnacentral:rRNA from 1 species
UGCCAGCAGCCGCGGUAAUACGGAGGGGGUUAGCGUUGUUCGGAAUUAUUGGGCGUAAAGCGCAUGUAGGCGGAACAGAAAGUUAGAUGUGAAAUCCCCGGGCUCAACCUGGGAACUGCAUCCAAAACUGAUUCACUAGAGUACGAUAGAGGGAGGUAGAAUUCACAGUGUAGCGGUGGAAUGCGUAGAUAUUGUGAAGAAUACCAAUGGCGAAGGCAGCCUCCUGGAUCUGUACUGACACUGAGAUGCGAAAGCGUGGAUAGCGAACAGGAUUAGAUA